rnacentral:rRNA from 1 species
UACGUAGGGUGCGAGCGUUGUCCGGAAUUAUUGGGCGUAAAGGGCUCGUAGGCGGUUUGUCGCGUCGGGAGUGAAAACACACAGCUUAACUGUGUGCUUGCUUCCGAUACGGGCAGACUAGAGGUAUGCAGGGGAGAACGGAAUUCCUGGUGUAGCGGUGAAAUGCGCAGAUAUCCGGAGGAACACCAGUGGCGAAAGCGGCCACCUGGACUGUACCUGACGCUCAAACGCGAAAGCUAGGGGAGCGAACGGG